rnacentral:rRNA from 1 species
UACGUAGGUGACAAGCGUUUGUCCGGAUUUACUGGGCGUAAAGAGCGCGCAGGCGUCGAUCAAGUCGAGUGUGAAAGCCCCCCGGCUCAACUGGGGAGGGUCAUUCGAUACUGAUCGACUCGAAGCAGGAGAGGGUAGUGGAAUUCCCGGUGUAGUGGUGAAAUGCGUAGAUAUCGGGAGGAACACCGGUGGCGAGACGGCACUACCUGGCCUGUUCUUGACGCUGAGGCGCGAAAGCUAGGGGAGCAAACGGGAUUAGAAC